rnacentral:rRNA from 1 species
AACGAACGCUGGCGGCAGGCUUAACACAUGCAAGUCGAGCGCCCCGCAAGGGGAGCGGCAGACGGGUGAGUAACGCGUGGGAACGUACCCUUUUCUACGGAAUAACGCAUGGAAACGUGUGCUAAUACCGUAUGUGCCCUUCGGGGGAAAGAUUUAUCGGAAAAGGAUCGGCCCGCGUUGGAUUAGCUAGUUGGUGGGUAAAGGCCUACCAAGGCGACGAUCCAUAGCUGGUCUGAGAGGAUGAUCAGCCACAUUGGGACUGAGACACGGCCCAAACUCCUACGGGAGGCAGCAGUGGGGAAUAUUGGACAAUGGGCGCAAGCCUGAUCCAGCCAUGCCGCGUGGGUGAUGAAGGCCCUAGGGUUGUAAAGCCCUUUCGGCGGGGAAGAUAAUGACGGUACCCGCAGAAGAAGCCCCGGCUAACUUCGUGCCAGCCGCCGCUGUAACAC